UACGUAGGUGACCAGCGUUGUCCGGAUUUACUGGGCGUAAGAGCGCGCAGGCGGUCGUCAAGUCGAGUGUGAAAGCCCCCGGCUCAACUGGGGAGGGUCAUUCGAUACUGAUCGACUGGAAGGCAGGAGAGGGAAGCGGAAUUCCCGGUGUAGUGGUGAAAUGCGUAGAUAUCGGGAGGAACACCAGUGGCGAAGGCGACUACCUGGCCUGUUUCUUGACGCUGAGGCGCGAAAGCUAGGGGAGCAAACGGG
rnacentral:rRNA from 1 species